CUGAGUACUACACUCUCUACCCUUUGUGAACUAUUAUACCUGUUGCUUCGGCGGCGCCCGCGAGGGUGCCCGCCGGUCUCAUCAGAAUCUCUGUUUUCGAACCCGACGAUACUUCUGAGUGUUUCUUAGCGAACUGUCA
rnacentral:misc_RNA from 1 species